GGGCGGAUGGCGGAAUUGGUAUACGCGCAUGGCUUAGGACCAUGUGCCGCAAGGCUUGGAGGUUCGAGUCCUCUUCCGCCCACCA
rnacentral:tRNA from 1 species